CCUACGGGAGGCAGCAGUGAGGAAUAUUGGUCAAUGGCCGCAGGGCUGAACCAGCCAAGUCGCGUGAGGGAUGACGGUCCUAUGGAUUGUAAACCUCUUUUGUCAGGGAGCAAAGGGCGCCACGUGUGGCGCUUUGCGAGUACCUGAAGAAAAAGCAUCGGCUAACUCCGUGCCAGCAGCCGCGGUAAUACGGAGGAUGCGAGCGUUAUCCGGAUUUAUUGGGUUUAACGGGUGCGCAGGCGGAAUGUCAAGUCAGCGGUAAAAUUUCGGGGCUCAACCCCGUCGUGCCGUUGAAACUGGCGUUCUUGAGUGAGCGAGAAGUAUGCGGAAUGCGUGGUGUAGCGGUGAAAUGCAUAGAGAUCACGCAGAACUCCGAUUGCGAAGGCAGCAUACCGGCGCUCAACUGACGCUCAUGCACGAAAGCGUGGGUAUCGAACAGGAUUAGAUACCCGAGUAGUC
rnacentral:rRNA from 1 species